rnacentral:rRNA from 1 species
CUGGCUCAGGAUUAACGCUGGCGGCGUGCCUAAUACAUGCAAGUCGAAUGGUAGUAGCAAUACAAACCAUGGCGAACGGGUGAGUAACACGUAGGUAACCUGUCUUUAAGACGAGGAUAACCAUUGGAAACGAUGGAUAAUACUGGAUAGGACAUCAUAAAGGGCAUCCUUAGAUGUUUAAAGAUUAUAAUGUCACUUAGAGAGGGGCCUGCGGCGCAUUAGCUAGUUGGUGAGGUAAGAGCCCACCAAGGCGAUGAUGCGUAGCCGGACUGAGAGGUUGAACGGCCACAACGGAACUGAGAACGGUCCAUACUCCUACGGGAGGCAGCAGUAGGGAAUUUUCGGCAAUGGGCGCAAGCCUGAACCCGAGCAACGCCGCGUGAACGAAGAAGUUAUUCGUAAUGUAAAGUUCUUUUAUCUGGGAAGAAAAACAAAUUGACGGUACCAGAUGAAUAAGCUCCGGCUAACUACGUGCCAGCAGCCGC